rnacentral:misc_RNA from 1 species
GAAAUGCGAUAAGUAAUGUGAAUUGCAGAAUUCAGUGAAUCAUCGAAUCUUUGAACGCACAUUGCGCCCGCCAGUAUUCUGGCGGGCAUGCCUGUUCGAGCGUCAUUACAACCCUCAGGCCCCCGGGCCUGGCGUUGGGGAUCGGCGGAAGCCCCCUGCGGGCACAACGCCGUCCCCCAAAUACAGUGGCGGUCCCGCCGCAGCUUCCAUUGCGUAGUAGCUAACACCUCGCAACUGGAGAGCGGCGCGGCCACGCCGUAAAACACCCAACUUCUGAAUGUUGACCUCGAAUCAGGUAGGAAUAACCGCUGAACUUAAGC